GAUGAACGCUGGCGGCGUGCCUAAUACAUGCAAGUCGAGCGAACAGACGAGGAGCUUGCUCCUCUGACGUUAGCGGCGGACGGGUGAGUAACACGUGGAUAACCUACCUAUAAGACUGGGAUAACUUCGGGAAACCGGAGCUAAUACCGGAUAAUAUAUUGAACCGCAUGGUUCAAUAGUGAAAGACGGUUUUGCUGUCACUUAUAGAUGGAUCCGCGCCGCAUUAGCUAGUUGGUAAGGUAACGGCUUACCAAGGCAACGAUGCGUAGCCGACGUGAGAGGGUGAUCGGCCACACUGGAACUGAGACACGGUCCAGAGUCCUACGGGAGGCAGCAGUAGGGAAUCUUCCGCAAUAGGCGAAAGCCUGACGGAGCAACGCCGCGUGAGUGAUGAAGGUCUUCGGAUCGUAAAACUCUGUUAUUAGGGAAGAACAAAUGUGUAAGUAACUAUGCACGUCUUGACGGUACCUAAUCAGAAAGCCACGGCUAACUACGUG
rnacentral:rRNA from 1 species